UACGAAGGGGGCGAGCGUUGUUCGGAUUUACUGGGCGUAAAGGGCGCGCAGGCGGCUCAUUUUGUCAGGCGUGAAAGCCCCGGGCUUAACCUGGGAACUGCGUUUGAUACGGAUGGGCUAGAGUUCGGGAGAGGAGAGUGGAAUUCCCAGUGUAGAGGUGAAAUUCGUAGACAUUGGGAAGAACACCGGUGGCGAAGGCGGCGACCUGGUCCUGGACUGACGCUGAGGCGCGAAAGCGUGGGGAGCAAACAGG
rnacentral:rRNA from 1 species